GACGAACGCUGGCGGCGUGCUUAACACAUGCAAGUCGAACGGAAAGGCCCUGCUUUUGUGGGGUGCUCGAGUGGCGAACGGGUGAGUAACACGUGAGUAACCUGCCCUUGACUUUGGGAUAACUUCAGGAAACUGGGGCUAAUACCGGAUAGGAGCUCCUGCUGCAUGGUGGGGGUUGGAAAGUUUCGGCGGUUGGGGAUGGACUCGCGGCUUAUCAGCUUGUUGGUGGGGUAGUGGCUUACCAAGGCUUUGACGGGUAGCCGGCCUGAGAGGGUGACCGGCCACAUGGGGACUGGGAUACGGCCCAGACUCCUACGGGAGGAAGCAGUGGGGAAUAUUGCAAAAGGGGCGGAAGCCGGAGGCAGCAACGCCGCGUGCGGGAGGACGGCCUUCGGGUGGUAAACCGCUUUCGCCUGUGACGAAGCGUGAGUGACGGUAAUGGGUAAAGAAGCACCGGCUAACUACGUG
rnacentral:rRNA from 1 species